rnacentral:rRNA from 1 species
CAGCAGCCGCGGUAAUACGUAGGGUGCAAGCGUUAAUCGGAAUUACUGGGCGUAAAGCGUGCGCAGGCGGUUCGUUAAGACAGAUGUGAAAUCCCCGGGCUUAACCUGGGAACUGCAUUUGUGACUGGCGGGCUAGAGUAUGGCAGAGGGGGGUAGAAUUCCACGUGUAGCAGUGAAAUGCGUAGAGAUGUGGAGGAAUACCGAUGGCGAAGGCAGCCCCCUGGGCCAAUACUGACGCUCAUGCACGAAAGCGUGGAGAGCAAACAGGAUUAGAUACCCCAGUAGUCCCUGUCUCUUAUAC